rnacentral:rRNA from 1 species
CUAGCGGCGGACGGGUGAGUAAUGCUUAGGAAUCUGCCUAUUAGUGGGGGACAACAUUCCGAAAGGAAUGCUAAUACCGCAUACGCCCUACUGGGGAAAGCAGGGGAUCUUCGGACCUUGCGCUAAUAGAUGAGCCUAAGUCAGAUUAGCUAGUUGGUGGGGUAAAGGCCUACCAAGGCGACGAUCUGUAGCGGGUCUGAGAGGAUGAUCCGCCACACUGGGACUGAGACACGGCCCAGACUCCUACGGGAGGCAGCAGUGGGGAAUAUUGGACAAUGGGCGCAAGCCUGAUCCAGCCAUGCCGCGUGUGUGAAGAAGGCCUUUUGGUUGUAAAGCACUUUAAGCGAGGAGGAGGCUACUUGGAUUAAUACUCUAGGAUAGUGGACGUUACUCGCAGAAUAAGCACCGGCUAACUCUGUGCCAGCAGCCGCGGUAAUACAGAGGGUGCGAGCGUUAAUCGGAUUUACUGGGCGUAAAGCGUGCGUAGGCGGCUUUUUAAGUCGGAUGUGAAAUCCCUGAGCUUAACUUAGGAAUUGCAUUCGAUACUGGGAAGCUAGAGUAUGGGAGAGGAUGGUAGAAUUCCAGGUGUAGCGGUGAAAUGCGUAGAGAUCUGGAGGAAUACCGAUGGCGAAGGCAGCCAUCUGGCCUAAUACUGACGCUGAGGUACGAAAGCAUGGGGAGCAAACAGGAUUAGAUACCCUGGUAGUCCAUGCCGUAAACGAUGUCUACUAGCCGUUGGGGCCUUUGA